GAGUAAAGAUUUCGGUCGCUUUGGGAGGAGCUCGCUUACUAUCAGCUUGUUGGUAGGGUAAUGGCCUACCAAGGCUAUGACGGUUAGGGGGUGUGAGAGCAUGACCCCCAGCAUUGGCACUGAAACACUGGCCAAACACCUACGGGUGGCUGCAGUCGAGAAUCUUCCACAAUGGGGGAAACCCUGAUGGAGCGAUGCUGCGUGCGGGAUGAAGGCCUUCGGGUUGUAAACCGCUUUUGUAGGGGACGAAAUUUUUGACGGUACCCUUUCGAAUAAGAGGUUGCUAACUCUGUGCCAGCAGCAGCGGUAAUACAGAGACCUCAAGCGUUAUCCGGAUUUACUGGGCGUAAAGCGUCUGUAGGGGGUUUAUUAAGUUCCAAGUAAAAUUUCAAGGCUCAACUUUGAAUUCGCUUGGAAAACUAAUAAACUGGAGUCUAGCAGAGGUGCAUGGAACUUGUGGUGUAGGAGUGAAAUCCGUUGAUAUCACAAGGAACACCAAAGGCGAAGGCAUUGCACUGGGCUAGCACUGACCCUGAGAGACGAAAGCGUGGGGAGCAAAACGGAUUAGAUACCCGUGUAGUCCACGCCCUAAACGAUGAAUGCUAAAUGUUCGGGGAUUCGACCCCCUGGGUGUUACAGCUAACGCGUUAAGCAUUCCGCCUGGGAAGUACGGCCGCAAGGCUAAAACUCAAAGGAAUAGACGGGGAUCCGCACAAGCGGUGGAGCGUCUGGUUUAAUUCGACAGUAAGCGUGGUACCUCACCAGGGUUUGACAUCCCUUGACAGCCUUGGAAAUAAGGUUUCCUUCGGGCAAGGUGACAGGUGCUGCAUGGUCGUCGUCAGUUCGUGCCGUGAGGUGUUCCGUUAAGUCGGGAAACGAACGAAACCCCUAUUGCAUGUUACAAUUUCUCAUGCAAGACUGCCCGGAUAUACUGGGAGGAAGGUGGGGAUGACGUCAGAUCUGCAUGGUCCUUAUACCCUGGGCGACACAGGCGCUACAAUGGCAGAGACAAAGGGUUGCAAAACCGCAAGGUGAAGCUAAUCCCAAAAACUUUGUCUAAGUUCGGAUUGAAGGCUGCAAUUCGCCUUCAUGAAGCUGGAAUCGCUAGUAAUCGUGAAUCAGCCACGUCACGGUGAAUAUGUUCCCGGAUCUUGUACUCACCGCCCGUCACACCAAGAGAGUUGGUAGCUCCCGA
rnacentral:rRNA from 1 species